rnacentral:lncRNA from 1 species
AUGGAGCAGAAACAACAUGGUGGUCAGAUGGAGAAACAACAUGGUGGUCAGAUGGAGAAAAACAUGGUGGUCGAAUGGAGCAGAAACAACAUGGUGGUCAGAUGGAGAAAAACACAUGGUGGUCAGAUGGAGAAACAACAUGGUGGUCAGAAUGGAGCAGAAACAACAUGGUGGUCAGAUGGAGUCAGACAACAUGGUGGUCAGAUGGGAAGAAACAACUGGUGGUCAGAUGGAGCAGAAAAACAACAUGGUGGUCAGAUGGAGCAGAAACAACAUGGUUAUGAGAUGAUGAGAAACAACAUGGUGGUCAGAUGGAGAAACAACAUGGUGGUCAGAUGGAGCAGAAAACAACAGUGUGGUCAGAUGGAGAAGAAACACACAUGGGGGUCAGAUGGAAAGAAACACAUGGUGGUCGAUGGAGAAGAAACAACAUGGUGGUCAGAUGGAAAAACAACAUGCAGAAACAACAUGUGGUCAGAAACACAUGAUGGUCAGAUGGAGAAGAAACAACAUGGUGGUCAAAUGGAGCAGAAACAACAUGGUGGUCAGAUGAUGCAGAAACAACAUGGUGGUCAGAUGGAGCAGAAACAACAUGGGGUGGCAGAACAACAUGGUGGUCAGAAACACACAUGGUGGUCAGAUGGAGAAGAAACACAUGGUGGUCAGAUGGAGAGAAACAACAUGGUGGUCAGAUGGAGAAGAAACAACAUGGUGGUCAGAUGGAGCAGAAACAACAUGGUGGUCAGAUGGAGAAGAAACAACAUGGUGGUCAGAUGAUGAGGAUGACGGUGAGCACUAGACGCAUCUACAGCCACACCGCCA